GUCACCAAAACAUAGUAAGGGUCUCAUUGUGGUUUUGCCCCAACAAGUGCUGAGAGAUGGAAAGCUUUUCUCCUUGUUUUCCACAGCAACACUCUUGGAACCAUCCUUGGCAUUCGGCUCCUGCGUGCGUCUCCUGAGCUCACCAGUAGACACGUCACGUGUCCACGGAGAGGAGAAGUGGAGGCAGGAGCUUGGUGCAGAGGUUCCCAGGUUUGUGCGAUGCCCAUCGUUCCGUCCUGGUUUGGACUCUCCUUGGACCCGUCAGCCGUGGAUUGCUGGACUCCUCUGACAUGUCUAUAUUGCUUUAUUCCUGGCGUCUAUUCAUAGGGUGAUUCCAGACUUGAGGGCUGCAAGCCCGUGUGGGGCCGUGCAAAUCCUCAGUUCUCACUGUAAGAUCUGCAAGUUUGUACAUUCACCACUCUGCAUUUUCCCUUGGGUGCUGGGGAAGAGUAUUUAAUGUAAUUUUUUUCUAGGCUACACUAA
rnacentral:lncRNA from 1 species